GAUGAACGCUGGCGGCGUGCCUAAUACAUGCCAGUCGAGCGAACGGACGAGAAGCUUGCUUCUCUGAUGUUAGCGGCGGACGGGUGAGUAACACGUGGAUAACCUACCUAUAAGACUGGGAUAACUUCGGGAAACCGGAGCUAAUACCGGAUAAUAUUUUGAACCGCAUGGUUCAAAAGUGAAAGACGGUCUUGCUGUCACUUAUAGAUGGAUCCGCGCUGCAUUAGCUAGUUGGUAAGGUAACGGCUUACCAAGGCAACGAUGCAUAGCCGACCUGAGAGGGUGAGCGGCCACACUGGAACUGAGACACGGUCCAGACUCCUACAGGAGGCAGCAGUAGGGAAUCUUCCGCAAUGGGCGAAAGCCUGACGGAGCAACGCCGCGUGAGUGAUGAAGGUCUUCGGAUCGUAAAACUCUGUUAUUAGGGAAGAACAUAUGUGUAAGUAACUGUGCACAUCUUGACGGUACCUAAUCAGAAAGCCACGGCUAACUACGUG
rnacentral:rRNA from 1 species